rnacentral:tRNA from 1 species
GAAAUACAUUAUAUUUAAGCUUCUAACUUAAAUCUUAAGCAACAAAGAUUGUUUAUAUUUCU